rnacentral:pre_miRNA from 1 species
GCCGUUGUUGCUCGACUCGUCGAGCAGGUUUCGGGUGGUUACUUGCCUUCAUUAAUCAUGGAAACCGUCCGAAACUUGCUCGACGUCAAGUAACCACACC